GACGAACGCUGGCGGCGUGCUUAACACAUGCAAGUCGAACGAAGAGCGAUGGAGGCUUGCUUCUAUCAAUCUUAGUGGCGAACGGGUGAGUAACGCGUAAUCAACCUGCCCUUCAGAGGGGGACAACAGUUGGAAACGACUGCUAAUACCGCAUACGAUCUAAUCUCGGCAUCGAGGAAAGAUGAAAGGUGGCCUCUAUUUAUAAGCUAUCACUGAAGGAGGGGAUUGCGUCUGAUUAGCUAGUUGGAGGGGUAACGGCCCACCAAGGCGAUGAUCAGUAGCCGGUCUGAGAGGAUGAACGGCCACAUUGGGACUGAGACACGGCCCAGACUCCUACGGGAGGCAGCAGUGGGGAAUCUUCCGCAAUGGACGAAAGUCUGACGGAGCAACGCCGCGUGAGUGAUGACGGCCUUCGGGUUGUAAAGCUCUGUUAAUCGGGACGAAAGGCCUUCUUGCGAACAGUUAGAAGGAUUGACGGUACCGGAAUAGAAAGCCACGGCUAACUACGUG
rnacentral:rRNA from 1 species